UUCCGGUUGAUCCUGCCGGACCCCACUGCUAUCGGGAUAAGACUAAGCCAUGCAAGUCAAGCGUCUCCAAGCUAUGUUGGAGAUGCGGCGUACGGCUCAGUAACACGUGGUUAGUCUACCCUUGGGACGGGAAUAACUCCGGGAAACUGGAGCUAAUACCCGAUGGGCGGGAACGCCUGGAAUGGUCUCCCGCUGAAAUGGCGUUGAAAGCAUGCUUUCAACGUUGCCCAAGGAUGAGACCGCGGCCGAUCAGGUUGUUGGUGAGGUAACGGCUCACCAAGCCUAUAACCGGUACGGGCCCUGAGAGGGGGAGCCCGGAGAUGGAACCUGAGACAAGGUUCCAGGUCCUACGGGACGCAGCAGGCGCGAAACCUCCACAAUGCACGAAAGUGCGAUGGGGUUAUCCCGAGUGCCGUCUGAUGAAGAUGGCUUUUCAUUGGUGUAAUGAGCCAGUGGAAGAAGGGGAGGGCAAGACUGGUGUCAGCCGCCGCGGUAAUACCAGCUCCCCGAGUGGUGGGGACGAUUACUGGGCCUAAAGCGUUCGUAGCCGGCUUAACAAGUCUUCCGUUAAAUCUGGCGACCCAAUCGUCAGGCUGCGGGGGAUACUAUUAGGCUAGGGGGCGGGAGAGGUCGACGGUAUUCUCGGGGUAGGGGUGAAAUCCUAAGAUCCUGAGAGGACCACCAGUGGCGAAGGCGGUCGACCAGAACGCGCCCGACGGUGAGGGACGAAAGCUGGGGUAGCGAACCGGAUUAGAUACCCGGGUAGUCCCAGCCGUAAACGAUGCAUGCUAGGUGUUGGAGCGGCUACGAGCCGCUUCAGUGCCGCAGGAAAGCUAUUAAGCCUGCCGCCUGGGGAGUACGGUCGCAAGACUGAGACUUUAAAGGAAUUGGCGGGGGAGCAACACAUGGUGAAGGCUGCAGUUCAAUUGGAAUCAACGCGU
rnacentral:rRNA from 1 species